rnacentral:lncRNA from 1 species
ACAGAGAAAGGUUUGCAGAGAGGUCAGAAUGUGGAAGGGUCUUGAAAUUCUUUACUAGAAGGAAAACUGAGCAGAAAACACACACAGGGGCACACACACACACAUGCACACCCACACACACAGAGGCACCCAUCAGUGUGGGCAAAAUGAGCUUCAGGGCCUAGAAUCUGAAAGUGCUCUGGUUACAGGUACAGGGUGAAAUGUACUUACUACACACGGAACAACAAAAAUCUGUGUACUUGCAUUUGCUCUUCCAAAUGCAAGUAUUUUCAAAUAUGCUUAGGAAGAAAGUUACUGGGGAAGUCUCUUGUGAUCUCUUUGAGGGACCCACUACCACCAUGAGUUGUCUUCCUCAUGGAAGGGAGCCUCUCAGAGUUAGCUUCUCCAGGCCCACACUGUCCCUUUGUGAUGUGAGCUACCUGGAGGAAAAGAGUUUGGGUUUUGUCCAACUGAACACCAAGAACAGAGUGUCUCAGAACCAGAGGUGAUCCACAACUUCAUCGUCAUUCACAACCCAUUGCACAACCUCAGCUGAGCUCAUUCUGUACUGCCUGGGAUUAUCCUCCUUCGGUGACUCAGCUUCUUUGCCAAUCAGCAGCUUCAGCUUUCACACUAUGCAACUUUGUGCAAACAUUUUCCUGACACAUCCUGGAUAAGUAGCAGGGCGAUGUAACAUGUGCUACACAGGCAUUCCAUUCCCUGGCGUCCAUCAACAGCCCUUCCACAGUCUGCAUGGAUGCCCCUUGUAGUUAUGCUAGAAACAAAUUCUUGUUGGUUUUUUAAACAGUGCCUGAUGUUCUUCAAAACCACAUCCAGCCCUCCAGUCCUUGGGGUACUUGCAGGUCAUGGACAGGAAAGAGCUGUGGGAUAAAAUAAAGAACUGUGUCACUAAGAUCUCAAUGGUUUUGCAAGGGGAACUUCCUCUGAAAGAGGUACUCAUGAGACACAAAGUCAUGCUUCUCCUUACCAGACACAGAGAAUGAGAGUGUAGUGAUGUGAAGGAUGGUUCUGUAGUAGUUUGGUGCAUAAGCGUGACAUCAUUGGCUCUUCAACCCACUGACCUGAGGAUGUCUAAAUGGAAAGUGGCCUUAUCUAGGAUCCAUAGUUCCUGGGACCUAAGAAACAUGUGGAUUAUAGGUGCAAGUACUUUGGAGGAUUCUCAGAAAUAUUUGGGAAGGUCACCCUUCCUCUCUGGGUUGGAGUAUUUCUAACUAAAGAGCAAUGGAGAGUCCUCGGAACAGUUUUUUAAAUUGAUAUGAUGGCUGUUGCACUCUCAGGAGGCUGGUGAUGCCUAGAACACCUGGGUUCCAGGAAAAAUUGUCUCCUAACAGCAAGAAAAGACUCAAGAGUGGAAUGUCUUUGGUGAAAGUGAGCCCUUGAGUGAUUCAAGGCCAGGCACACCUAGUAGGCUGGAAUUACUGAGAAGAUUUGGGUAUUGUUUUUCAGGCAGAUCAUAUGACUCUUGAAGUCCCUCUUCAUCCUGAAAUUUGAAGAACUGGGGGUGCUAGAUGGCAGAAGUAGAGAUCCCUGAAUCACCCUCUGUAGAAGAGUGGCACAGGAGAGUCACUUGACCCAAUUGGGACCGACACUAGACUGUGAGAUAACAAACCUGGUUUGUGUUAAGGCCUUGAAAUUUUAGGAUUUGUUUGUUUCUUCAUUACUGGCCAACAUUCAUCUAAGGAAGAGGAUACAGAAUAUCUCCAGGGUUGUUGCAAAGAUUAAUUGAGAUAAUUUAGAUAAAGCACAGAGCACUGUCUUCCAUAAUAUGGACUCAAUAUAUGACAACGAUUACAGUUUAAGAUUGAUUACAUUCAUCUAGAGAUUAAGAAUAAGGUCUUCAGAAUCAAUGGAUAUAGUUCAUGUCUCAGAUAUGCUACUAUGUAUGUUAAGAAGAUUAUUUAAUAUCUUUACACUUUAAUUUCUUUAUGAAAUGGCAUCCGAUCCACAAGGUAAUGUAUGGGGUAGUGGUGGCAGUAAUGGUAGCUGAUAAUCUUCUGCCUGAUCCCUCAUUAGAGCUGCAGAACUGGUCAUUAGGGAAAAGAACCAAAUAGAUAAGCUUAUGUGGAGAUCCAACUGUGGUUUUGAUCAGAUUGAUGGAACUAACCAGUCACAGCCCAGCUACUAAUAGAGUGGUCUCCAACCACAAAGGCAGUGAUCAGAUGAUGGCCAAUUAUCUGAGUAUCAGCAGUGAUUCUGCCGCUGGAGACAAGCAAAAAAGACAAGCAAGAGUUCAGGAUUUGGAAAAACAAUGUAUACGAUUUUGCCUUUAUGUUGCGUUUGUAUUUCUCUUUAAGCAAUUUUAGAGCGAUAAUAGAUGCAGCAUUAAAAAUUAAUUUUGCUUUUUCCCAAUCAUAAUAGUAGUAGAGUUUUUUAUAGAAAGUUAGAAGUACAGAAAUUUGGACAGAAAGAAAAACAUACAUUGUUCUAAUCCAACAAACAACUAAUAAUUUUUCUGUAUUUAUAUUCACUCUUUUUUUCUAUAUAUGUUUUAUUUGUUUAUUUAACAUAAUUGGAUUUUCUAAUGUUAUAUUUAAAUUACUUCAUAAAUAUUAUUUUCAAGGACUGUAAAUUAUUUAAUUAUGUGAAUGUACCAUAGUUUACUUAUUUAUUUCUUUCAUGACAUUAGCUUUUUUGCUGUUGUAAAUAAUGACCCUGUUAACUUCUCUGUUACAUAUUUUUACAUCCUUUGAUUUAUUUUGUUGGGACAAAUCCACAGAAUUGGAAUUACUAGGACAAAUAGAAAAGAUGUUUAUAAGAAAUAGUAUACUACAUUGCCAAAUUGCUAUCCCCAGCAAUACCUGAAAAUGAUGGUUCCACAUGGCCUAUUAUGGGAUUUAUCUUUGUAUAUUGCUAAUUUAAAAAACC